rnacentral:rRNA from 1 species
CGAGAGGCCCAAACGUUAUUCGGAUUUACUGGGCUUAAAGAGUUCGUAGGCGGUCUGGCAAGUGAGGUGUGAAAGCCCUCGGCUCAACCGAGGAAUUGCGCUUCAAACUGCCAGGCUCGAGGGAGAUAGAGGUGAGCGGAACUGAUGGUGGAGCGGUGAAAUGCGUUGAUAUCAUCAGGAACACCAGUGGCGAAGGCGGCUCACUGGGUCUUUUCUGACGCUGAGGAACGAAAGCUAGGGGAGCAAACGGGAUUAGAUACCCCGGUAGUCCUAGCCGUAAACGAUGAGCACUGGACCGGAGUUGUGCACACGAUUUCGGUCGUAGCGAAAGUGUUAAGUGCUCCGCCUGGGGAGUAUGGUCGCAAGGCUAG